rnacentral:rRNA from 1 species
AAUUGGCCCCUSGAAACGGCRAGUGAAGCGGCAACAGCUCAAAUUUGAAAUCUGGCUCUCGGGCCCGAGUUGYAAUUUGUAGAGGAUACUUUUGAUGCGGUGCCUUCCGAGUUCCCUGGUAMGGGACGCCAUAGAGGGUGAGAGCCCCGUCUGGUUGGAUGCCAAAUCUCUGUAAAGUUCCUUCGACSAGUCGAGUAGUUUGGGAAUGCUGCUCUAAAUGGGAGGUAUAUGUCUUCUAAAGCUAAAUACCGGCCAGAGACCGAUAGCGCACAAGUARAGUGAUCKAAAGAUGAAAAGCACUUUGAAAARAGAGUUAAAMAKUAYGUGAAAUUGUUGAAAGGGAARCGUUUAUGACCAGACUUGGGCUUGGUUAAUCAUCUGGGGUUCYCCCCAGUGCACUUUUCCAGUCCAGGCCASCMUCMSUUUUCCCCGGGGGAUAAAKACUUCSGGAAUGUGGCUCUCUUCSGGGAGUGUUA